GCGAGUGAAGCGGUAAUAGCUCAAAUUUGAAAUCUGGCCCUUUCAGGGUCCGAGUUGUAAUUUGCAGAGGGCGCUUUGGAGUCGGCAGCAGCCUAAGUUCCUUGGAACAGGUCAUCAUAGAGGGUGAGAAUCCCGUAUGUGGCUGCUUGCCUUCGCCGUGUAAAGCCCCUUCGAUGAGUCGAGUUGUUUGGGAAUGCAGCUCUAAAUGGGAGGUAAAUUUCUUCUAAAGCUAAAUAUUGGCCAGAGACCGAUAGCGCACAAGUAGAGUGAUCGAAAGAUGAAAAGCACUUUGGAAAGAGAGUCAAAAAGCACGUGAAAUUGUUGAAAGGGAAGCGCUUGCAGCCAGACGUGCCCGCAGUUGCUCAUCUGGGGUUCUCCCCAGUGCACUCUUCUGUGGGCAGGCCAGCAUCAGUUCGGGCGGUUGGAGAAAGACCUGUGUCACGUAGCUCUCUUCGGGGAGUGUUAUAGGGCAGGUGGAAUGCAACCAGCCUGAACUGAGGUCCGCGCAUCUGCUAGGAUGCUGGCGUAAUGGCUGUAAGCGGCCCGUCUUGAAACACGGACCAAGGAGUCUAACAUCUAUGCGAGUGUUUGGGUGUCAAGCCCGAACGCGUAAUGAAAGUGAACGGAGGUGGGAACCCCUCGGGGUGCACCAUCGACCGAUCCUGAUGUCUUCGGAUGGAUUUGAGUAAGAGCAUAGCUGUUGGGACCCGAAAGAUGGUGAACUAUGCCUGAAUAGGGUGAAGCCAGAGGAAACUCUGGUGGAGGCUCGCAGCGGUUCUGACGUGCAAAUCGAUCGUC
rnacentral:rRNA from 1 species